ACGAAAGAGCAUAUGGUGGAUGCCUUGGCAUAUAUUGACGAUGAAGGACGUAGCAGCCUGCGAAAAGCUUCGGCGAGGUGGCAAGCAACCUUUGACCCGGAGAUAUCCGAAUGGGGAAACCCACUGUGGUAAACCCACAGUACCUGCAACUGAAUACAUAGGUUGUAUGGAGUAAACCUAGGGAAUUGAAACAUCUUAGUACCUAGAGGAAUAGAAACAAAUUGCAUUCCCUUAGUAGUGGCGAACGAACGGGGAGAAGCCCAAACCACAGAGUUAUUUAUAGUUCUGUGGGGUUGUGAGGUUAAAACGUCUUCGAGCAAUCGAAGGGUAGAGUAAAAAAUGAGGUUUUGUAGUAGAACACGUUGGAAAGCGUGGCCAGAGGAGGUGACAGCCCUGUACAUAAAACUUAAUCUCGCUCUACGGUUUUUUCUCUCGAGUAGCAUGGGACACGUGAAAUCUUAUGUGAAUCUACCGGGACUAUCCGGAAAGGCUAAAUACAAUAUAUGACCGAUAGCGAACUAGUACCGUGAGGGAAAGGUGAAAAGAACCCCGGAAGGGGAGUGAAAUAGAUCUGAAACCAUAUGCUUACAAUAGAUCGGAGCCCAAGAUUAGUUCUGGGUGACGGUGUGCCUAUUGAAGAAUGAGCCAACGAGUUAUAACGUGCGGCAGAUUAAUGUCGUGAGACAGCAGUCGUAGGGAAACCGAGUGUGAAUAGCGCGAACCUCUAUCUAAUACUGAUCAAUUCUGCGAUCAGUAUUGGGUAGAAAUACGUCGUACGUUAUAGACCCGAAACCAAGUGAUCUUGCCAUGGCCAGGCCGAACCUACCGUAACAGGUAGGGGAGGGCCGAACCCACUGGUCGUAUAACGCCAGGGGAUGAGCUGUGGUAAGCGGAGAAAUUCCAAUCGAACUUGGCAAUAGCUGGUUCUCCUCGAAAUAUCUUUUGGGAUAGCCCUAUAAACUCUCCCGCGGGGGUAGAGCACUGAAUGGGAUAGAAGUCUUCGGAUAUUCUACCUAACCAAACUCCGAAUACCGCGGUGAAUUAUUAUAGGAGUCAGACCGUGGGGGCUAAGCUUCACGCGUCAAAAGGGAAACAGCCCAGAUCAUAGUCUAAGGUCCCCAAAUAUCGAUUAAGUGUUAAAGGUGGUGUCGUGACUUGAACAACCAGGAUGUUGGCUUAGAAGCAGCCAUCAUUUAAAGAUAGCGUAACAGCUCACUGGUCCAGUCGCUUCGCGCCGAAAAUGUAACGGGGCUAAAUCGAUUACCGAAGACAUGGAUGUAUAUUCUUUUGAAUAUACGUGGUAGAGGAGCAUUCGUAUCUGCGAUGAAGGUGGACCCGUGAGGGCUGCUGGAGCGGUACGAAGCGAGAAUGUUGGCAUGAGUAGCAAGAAUCAGUGUGAGAAUCACUGACACCGUAAGUCUAAGGGUUCCUGGGCAACGAUGAUCGACCCAGGGUUAGGCGGUCCUAAGGCGAGGCCGAAAGGCGUAGUCGAUGGACAGCAGGUUAAUAUUCCUGCCCUAUGUAUUGUUUUGUCAUGCCCGACGUGUUUUGAAGCGAUAUGUGCCCUCAUGGUAUGGGGCAUUGGCUGCAAUGAAAAUUGCAGACACAAGAGGACGGGGAAACCCAACCUCAAGGUAUCGGGACAGAAGGCCUAGAAAAAGGCGUUGACACGUGACAAUACAUAUCCGUACCGUAAACCAACACAGGUAGACGAGGCGAGUAGCCUCAGGUGUACGAGAGAACCCUCGUUUAGGAACUCGGCAAAACAGCGGCCGUAACUUCGGGAUAAGGCCCGCCUCGCAUCUUCGGAUGUCGAGGCCGCAGUUAACAAUUCCAAGCGACUGUUUACCAAAAACACAGGUCCCUGCUAAAUCGCAAGAUGAAGUAUAGGGGCUGAUGCCUGGCCAGUGUCCGAACGUUAAGGAAGGCGGUUAGAAAUUUAUUUCGAGGCUGCUGACCGAAGCGCGGAUGAACGCCGGCGAUAACUAUAAUCGUCCUAAGGUAGCGAAAUUCCUUGUCGGGUAAGUUCC
rnacentral:rRNA from 1 species